CCUACGGGUGGCAGCAGUGAGGAAUAUUGGUCAAUGGACGAAAGUCUGAACCAGCCAAGUAGCGUGAAGGAUGACUGCCCUAUGGGUUGUAAACUUCUUUUAUGUGGGAAUAAAAUGUUCCACGUGUGGGAUUUUGUAUGUACCAUAUGAAUAAGGACCGGCUAACUCCGUGCCAGCAGCCGCGGUAAUACGGAGGGUCCGAGCGUUAUCCGGAUUUAUUGGGUUUAAAGGGAGCGUAGGUGGCUUGUUAAGCCAGUUGUGAAAGUUUGUGGCUCAACCGUAAAAUUGCAGUUGAAACUGGCAGGCUUGAGUGCAGGAGAGGUGGGCGGAAUUCGUGGUGUAGCGGUGAAAUGCUUAGAUAUCACGAAGAACUCCGAUUGCGAAGGCAGCUCACUGGACUGCAACUGACACUGAGGCUCGAAAGUGUGGGUAUCAAACAGGAUUAGAUACCCGUGUAGUC
rnacentral:rRNA from 1 species